GGGCCUAUAGCUCAGGGGAUUAGAGCACGUUGCUACGAACCACAGUGUCGAGGGUUCAAAUCCCUCACCCA
rnacentral:tRNA from 1 species